GUGCCAGCAGCCGCGGUAAUACGGGGGGGGCAAGCGUUGUUCGGAAUUACUGGGCGUAAAGGGCUAGUAGGCGGCCAACUAAGUCGGAUGUGAAAUCCCCAGGCUCAACCUGGGAACUGCAUCCGAUACUGGAUGGCUUGAAUCCGGGAGAGGGAUGCAGAAUUCCAGGUGUAGCGGUGAAAUGCGUAGAUAUCUGGAGGAAUACCGGUGGCGAAGGCGGCAUCCUGGACCGGCAUUGACGCUGAAUAGCGAAAGCCAGGGGAGCAAACGGGAUUAGAAACCCUGGUAGUCC
rnacentral:rRNA from 1 species